CUUCGUUGUUUACUUCAAUCUCUCUGUUCAUCCUCCAUCUUCUACUUCAGUUUGGUUUUUUUUUUUUCAUCUUAUUCAUCCCAAUCGAAGAAACCACAUAAGGAUGGGAUCUCGUCGUUCCCAAACUCCUCCAUUUUGCACUCUGUAUAUCAAUCAUCAUCGUCUCCACCAAACCCUAAACCACGAUCUCUCCUUGAACGACGAUUACGUCUCAUAAUCAUCUCCGCAAGACCUCGCAAACCCCUCAAUUUCACUCCUUCGUGCGUCUCCUCAGAUCCCAACGCCUCUGAUUCGAUAAAGAGAGACGAAUGCACCAGUAGCCAUGGCUGAACAGGCUGAGACAGCUUUUCUUAAGCAACCCAAGGUCGUCUUAAGCUAGAAGAAAUCUGGGAAAGGAAAGAAACAUGUUAAAGGUGGAAACCAUUUAUGGAAGAACAUUGGUUUGGGUUUCCAGACUCCCCGUGACGCCAUUGAAGGUUUGAUGUAGAUUUACCUCUGUUCGUUUCUCUCCGCUCUUCUAUAUUUCAUUCAUGUGCAUGCACAAUUGUGUUUGUGUGACUAGGUCGUCAAUUAGGUAUUUCAGAUUAGGCGUAAAAUUCUCUACUUUCAGUUUUGAUGAGUAAGUCUGAGACUCUUGUGAUUGCAUGAACUGAUGUUCAAAGAAGAGGUCACAGUUAAGCUUACAGAUGAGCUUAAAGCAGUUGGAGUUGAUGAAGUGGUUCUGGCCAUCAAUUACCAACCAGAAGUGAUGCUUAACUUUUUGAAAGACUUUGAAGCAAAGCUGGAAAUCAAAAUCACUUUCUCACAAGAGACUGAGCGUAUGGGUACGAUUGAGUCCAGCUUGGGAAAUAUUAAGGAAGUUAUUAGUCUU